rnacentral:rRNA from 1 species
UACAGAGGGCGCGAGCGUUGUCCGGAAUCACUGGGCGUAAAGGGCGCGUAGGCGGUCUCUUAAGCGUGUGGUGAAAUCCUGGAGCUCAACUCCAGAACUGCCUUCGAUACUGAGAGUCUCGAGUCCGAGAGAGGUGAGUGGAACUGCGAGUGUAGAGGUGAAAUUCGUAGAUAUUCGCAAGAACACCAGUGGCGAAGGCGGCUCACUGGCUCGGUACUGACGCUGAGGUGCGAAAGCGUGGGGAGCAAACAGG